GGGAAGAGCAAGUGCCAAGCUCGCUCAAAACAGCUACUCGGUUGGUUCAGGUCCUUGUCGCGGGUGUGCCGGCUGGCUUCUCGAUAAUCUUUUCAAAUCCUUGAAGCUUUCAUUUCCUCCACCCCAAACUUGUA